rnacentral:rRNA from 1 species
UCUACGGGAGGCAGCAGUGGGGAAUAUUGCACAAUGGGCGAAAGCCUGAUGCAGCGACGCCGCGUGAGGGAUGACGGCCUUCGGGUUGUAAACCUCUUUCAGUAGGGAAGAAGCGAAAGUGACGGUACCUGCAGAAGAAGCACCGGCUAACUACGUGCCAGCAGCCGCGGUAAUACGUAGGGUGCGAGCGUUAUCCGGAAUUAUUGGGCGUAAAGAGCUCGUAGGCGGUUUGUCGCGUCUGUCGUGAAAGUCCGGGGCUUAACCCCGGAUCUGCGGUGGGUACGGGCAGACUAGAGUGCAGUAGGGGAGACUGGAAUUCCUGGUGUAGCGGUGGAAUGCGCAGAUAUCAGGAGGAACACCGAUGGCGAAGGCAGGUCUCUGGGCUGUAACUGACGCUGAGGAGCGAAAGCAUGGGGAGCGAACAGGAUUAGAUACCCUGGUAGUCCAUGCCGUAAACGUUGGGCACUAGGUGUGGGGAACAUUCCACGUUUUCCGCGCCGCAGCUAACGCAUUAAGUGCCCCGCCUGGGGAGUACGGCCGCAAGGCUAAAACUCAAAGGAAUUGACGGAAU